CUGAGGCCCUGGCCAGGGCGGUGCUGAUCUUGCUGCCUCUCCUGCUCCUGCCAUCUGCCCGUCACAUGUUCUCCAACACAAAUCUGCCUGGCCUUAUGGGCGGCGUUCCCUGGCUCUUAGGAGAAAAAGCCAGAUCUUUACCAUGGACCAUGAGGCCCAGAGAGGUCUAGGCUGAGCCCACCCCUGUGGCCCAGCAGACGCCCUUCCCCUUCACUCUGCACCCAGCCCCUGUCUCCUCUCAUGGCCUCACGUGGGCCACACCCCUUCCCCGCACUGGGCCUUUGCUCGUGAUGUGCAUUCUUUCUGGAAGACCCCUGCCCCCUCCCCAGCCCUCUGCCCAGUGGCUCCUAGCCACUCCUCACAUGGGGGCAGGACUCACAUCUCCAGAGAUCCCCCUCUACCCCCAACCCCGAACAAGGUCAGGGCCCUCCUUAGACUCUAGGUCCUGUGUGCUUUUGCUGCUGGGAUCGGGGUUGGGGUGAGAUAAAUAACCUUCCUCUAUUUCUUGUCCAAGUUCAGAACUAUACACAGAGGUGUACAGUGAGACCCACAUAAACAAACCCACUAAACCCAACUCAACCGGCCCUUACCCAGAUCCUCCAAAUGUCCCAGGCCUCCCUAGUGUCACCUGAUAUUCAGUGGCAUCAGCGGGAAAGGGAACAGUGGUCUUAAGGAUUGCAGCUAAAAGAUCUGACUGUGGCAUUGUAAGCUGUAAGGAACGUGUUGGUGAACCCGUGGCUAAGCCCACUCCCGGGCCUUGGUGGGGUUUGUGCACAGGUGUCAGAAGUGUGAGUUCCAUUAGCUUUACAGUGAAUCAGCUGUGGGGCACAGAGGGCAAGUUUUUCCUCCACCCUAUGAAGGCUCUUUGAGAAAGAACUGACCAAGGCAGACCAAUAGGAAAAAGAAAAGCAUUCCAAUGUAAUGUGCAUGGCAGGGGGAAUUGCAGGAGAGUGACGGCCCCACAAACCAGUGAGGUCCAGGUGCUUCCACACUCCUCCUCAUGGGGAGUUGGGAAAUGGGGGAAAUGUGACUGUUUAGAGGGUAAAACAUGAUUUAUGGGGGAACGAAUCGAUCCAGAGGCAGGCACUGUCUUGGGAGUAAUCCUUUCCAGACUGGCCAAUCAGGUAUUUCUCCUCCUCCCCAAAGAAGAAUAAAAGAGAGAGAGGGAGAGGGGCCGGGGGAGUCCCCUAUGCUCUCCCCCAGACAGUGGAAGCCCCUUCCUCUAUGGAGACCAGAGGAGUGGGAGAGGGGAUUCUCUAUUCUCCCCUAAAUGUUUCCUCUAUAGCCCUUAACAGAGUGUGCAAUUUGGUGCUUUGAGGAAUCAUUUGAUUUGCACCUGACAUCUCCCCUGGAAUGUACACCAUUGACCGGCCACAUGCCACCUGGUGUAUAACAGGCAUUCAUGGUCACCUGGUGGAAGGGAGGGAGGGAGGCCUGGGAAUAUUCCUUUCCUCCCGUGGUAUAUGGAUUGGAAGGAAGGGAGGGAGGAAGGCUGAGUAUAUACUUUCCUCCUGUGGUGUAUGCAUUGGAAGGGAAGGAGGGAGGGAGGGAGGCUGGGAAUAAGUUUUCCCUGUGGCAUAUGGAUUUGGCUGUGUGUCAGCAUUACCCAGGGGCUCAUUAAAAACAUUCUUAGCCCCAUCCCAGAGAUCCUGAGUCAGCAGAUUGGACAAUCUAUUUUUUCCCCACUGGGCUCCUGCUGAUGGGCUUGGUCCAUUUCUUGAUGCACCUCCUGCCCUCCAGCAUGGCCUGCAAUCCAGCCACCGGACUUGGUCUGAGGUCAGCUCUUCAUCCGCCUUGUUCUGGCUGUGGUGGCCAUGAACAUGUACCUCUUGGGUCCUCAACAGCAAGGAGCAAAAACGACCAACAUCCUGGGGAUUUCCUGCCAUGCUCGGAAAUCCUUCCCUGUGUGAGCGUGGAGGUCACACUUCCUGCAGGGUGCUCCCAGUGCCUGCAUGAGGCAGGGAUAUGGAGGCCUCCUGAGUCCGCAUGACAGGGCUCCUCCAGAGGACAGCCUGGGCUCCAGGACCUCUUGCUCUACCUGCUGAGACUUAGAACUGUGCAGCCCCAGAGUCUUGCCUCCCUCCCUCCUUUCUUCACUCUCUUCCCUCCCUCCCUCCCUUCUUCCCUCUCUUCACUCCCUCCCCUCCCUCCCUUCUUUCCUUUCCUCCUCUGUCCUUUCCUCCCUCCCUUCUUGCUCUGUCUCCCCUCUUUCCCUCCCUUCCCUUUUUCCCUCUGUCCCCUCCCUCUCUCCCUCCAUCAUGGGGCUCCCAGCUGCAUCACAAUCUGUGGGCUCUGCCUCCUCUGGCUCCCUCCUCAUUUCCCCUCACAGGUAUUUCCCCUAAUACACAUCUCACCCACAUCUAAUCCUGGCUCAGUAUCUGCGUCUCAGAGGACCUGGACUAAGGCACUUGCCGUCUCAGGCUUAGGGACCCUUCAACCUCCUGAGAACUCUGGGCCCAGGCAAUCCUAGAGAACUGGCUCCUGUCCAUGUUCUCCUUUCUCUGGAAACUGCUUAGACACCUCCUUCAUGCUCUGAGCAGAGGCAGGACAGGUCAGGAGAAGGAAUAGGGUGAGACCCCAGCCUGAAGGUCACAGGGACACCUGGUCCAGGAGAAAUCCCCUGCAGCAGGCAUUUGCUCACAUGGCUACAGGUGAACGCUGGGAUACGGAGUGUUCUUUUUUGCUACGAAACUAGAGUCAUGGAGGUCCUGGUCAACAUUCUUCCUUCCAAAUACAAUGGCCUGGAUGGGGGAGGGCGGUGGCUACAGAGGCUUCCUGCUUCGUGUUGGGGCUCUUGUCCAUUGCAAACUGGCACCAGCCGGGACCCCAGGCUACCCACAUGGUGUUUGGCUCCUGUCUGAUAGCAAAAGGCUUUGAAGACCACAUCCAGGCAUAAUGGAUAGCCAGGCUGCCUGAGUGGUUUGAUAGAUCUCCCAGAAAAUUCCCAGAUGGACCCUGGACACCUGGCACAGCCAUGCCACAGCUUUCUUCCUCCUGGGAACAGGCUACCAGUGAGAGGCUUUUACUCUGAAGCCAGGUGCACCAGGGCCCCGGGAUCCUUUCCUCUAAAAUCUCUGCAGGUCUGAGCUAAGAGAAAAAUAGAAACCUCAAGUUGCUAAGAGCCCCUUUUGCUUAGGAAACUUCAUGCUUUUUCACUUCAUAAAUGGACUUGAUUGGAAUGAACGUUUAGGCAAAUGACAUUGUCAAUGGGCAUCAUCAAGGCCACAUUCUGCCUUGGAAAGAGUAACACAGAGGAGGGUUACGCGCUUUUGUCAGAAGAGUAGCUCUGUUGAGUCUAUAGAGAUUUGGCCACAGGCUAAGGGUAGCACCUUCUCUUGUCCACUGUUUACAAUCAAGGUGGUCAAACCAACCCUGGGGGCUAGAACAUGAUAGACCCUGCUGGUGACAUCUGAAAAUGGUUUGGCUUUACGUAGAUGAGGGAAGAGUAUGUGCAAAGACCUUGCCCAUUCUGUCUCACUUUUAAGAGUCAAUAUGCAAUCUGGAGGCAAAGCUAGACAAACCAACUGAUAUGGUUUGGCUGUGUCCCCACCCAAAUCUCAUCUUGAAUUGUAGCUCCCAUAAUUCCACGAAGUGGGAGGGACCUAGUGGGAGAUAAUUGAAUCAUGGGGGCAGUUUCCCCGCAUACUGUUCUUGUGGUAGUGAAUACGUCUCAAGAGAUCUGAUGGUUUAUAAGGGGAAACCCUUUUCACUUGGUUCUCAUUAUCUCUCUUGCCUGCCAUCAUGUAAGAUGUGCCUUCUGCCAUGAUUGUGAGGCCUCUCCAGCCACGUGGAACUGUGAGUCCAUUAAACCUCUUUUUCUUUAUAAAUUACCCAGUCUUGGGUAUGUCUUUAUCAGCAGAGUGAGAACGGACUAAUACACCAACAAAUGCAGAGGGGCCAGAACCAGCCUCUCCUGGGACAUCAGAGCCAACGGUUAAGUGCUCUGGAUUCCAAGCCCAUUUACUUCAUGUUGAUAGGUUGAAAUUGGCCACGGCGAGAGACUUAUGUUGAAACUUAAUACCCAAUGUGGCAGUACUGAAAGGUGUGCCCUGCUAGAGGUGAUUGGGUCAUGAGGGCUCUCCCUUCAUGAAUGGAUUAAUUCAUUCAUAGAUUAGUGUAUUAAUGAGUCAAUGGAUUAAUGGGUUAUCAUGGGAGUGGGACCAGCAGCUUUAUAAGAAGAUGAAGCGAGACUUGAACCAAUACACUCAGCCCCCUCACCAUAUGAUGCCCUGCACUGCCUUAGGACUCUGCAGAGUCCCCACUAGCAAGAAGACUCUCACCAAAUGCACCACCACCACCCCAACCUUGAACUGCUCAGUCUCAAAGUCUGUAAGAAACAAAUUCCUUUUCUUUAUAAACUACCCCAUCUCAGGUAUUCAGUUACAGUGAUGCAAAAUGGACUAAGACAGAAAAUUGGUACCAGAAGUGGGGUUCACAGAACCUAACUAACACUACAAACAAGGGCUUUCUACGCCAUCCACCUUCACCCAUUGUUCAACAUUGAUUUGGCAGCACACUUCUGGACCACUGAAUCAGAAGGAUCCACACAGAUAUAAUCACCUGACUUACAACAAAGGCCCCACUGCAUCUUAAUGGGGGAAAGAAUAGUCUUCGCAAUAAAUGGUGUUGGGUCAAUGGGAGAUGAUAUGGGAGAUAGAGAACCUUCAGUCCUACCUUAUAUUGUACAUAAAGAUUAUUGAGAGAUGGCUCAUAGACCUAAAUGUGAAAAAUAAAACUUACAGAAAAAACCUAGAAGACUACUGUGGUAGGCAGAAUAAUCCUCGCCAUCCCUGCCACCAAGAUGACCACAUCCUAGUCCCUGGGCCUGUGAGUAUGUUAUGUGACAUGGCUAAAAGAAUUGGGGUGCAGAUGAAUGAAUGAGAAUAAAUAGCCUUCCUCUAAAACUUUCUGAGAAACUCCCUCCCUCCUUCCAAGAUCUCAAGAGGUAAAAGGAAGUCACAUGCCUUAAAAGGAGUGUUGCAGCUUAGUCGCCAAGAACUAAGGAUUAUCUGAGCCACCAGGUCUCCUAUCCCCUGUAACUGUGCCUCUUGGAGGUGCUGGGGAACCUGAAGUUCAACAUGGGCUCCAGAUUAUGCUGGCUGGACAGUGGUUCCCAUGACCUGGGAGUCAGGCAAGCACCCCAUCAGAGUCUGUCUUAGAGAAGGUGCUAGGGCUGCUUCUGCUUCCACUUCCACCCUGACAGGACUGAGGAGGUGAGGCCCAGAGAGCAGACUGGAUAACUUCAUCCUGCUAACUUUACUCUUCUGGAAGUUUCCCUUUAUUAGUCCAAAUGGGCCAAAGCUGAACAUCAAAAAUCCUUACCAUCCAUUCUUGGUCUUUCCAUCCAAAAAUCCUUACCAUCCAUUCUUAGUCUUUCUCAGUAGUUAGUUAACCUUGUUUCAAGGAAGUCUAUAACUGACCCUGAGCCAGCACUUCUUUAAACCUUAACGAAGGUAUCCACACGAAGCUGAGGAGUAGGGGAGGAGAAGGACACAUGAAAAGCACUGAGUUGAUAUGGGAGCAGACCAUCCAAAGCCAUCUGCCUCAAAUGUCCUUGGAGCUCAGUAAUUAGGAGCAAGGAGCUUUGGACUAGGGCCCAAAGUGCCUGGGUCCUGGAUUCAAAUCCUGGUCCCAUCACUUCCUAAGUGUGUGAUCCUAGACAAGUUAUUGAUCUCGCUCUGACUCAGUUUCCUCAUUUGUACAAUGGGGAUAAUAAUCCCUACCUCAUAGAGCACCUGGCAUAUAGCAAGCGCUACACAGAUAUUAACCCAUGUAUUUUAUCAUUUCCGCCAACUUCAUCACCAUCACCACCACCAUCAUCAUCAUCACCAUCAUCACCACUAUUGUCACCAUCAUCACCAUCACCGUCAUCACUAUUAUCACCAUCACCACCAUCAUUACUGUCACCACCAUCAUUGUCAUCACUAUUACUAAUAGCUAAUGGAAGCAAGCAACUUUGCCUGGUGUUUUGCCCCUCCUUUAUUGUAUCUCUAGCUCAUGGAAAUGGGGGGAAUAAAUGUGAAGUUUAGGAGACUGGAGUUUCCAGUCUGAGGCUGAUCCAUACAAUAUAAGAAGAAAGAGAGCCAGUAAAGGCCAAACAGAGUGGAAUAGAUGCAAGAGUUGAGCCUAUUUUGUGGAAGCCCGCCCAUCAGCCGUCUUCCCUCUCUUCUCCUCCUUGGGUCUCAGGAACUCAGCCUUCAGAAGUCAUGAACUAAACCUCUCCUCCCACCCCCACAUCCACCAGCCUGUAAGAGUGAGUCCUCAGGAAGCAGCUGCCACCAUUCGUUACCAUGUGGGGGGACUGCCAAGUAUUUGUACACAAUCCAGAUACUACCACUGAAAUCAAAGUGCCCCAGUCAGGUCAGUGGGCAGUUCAUUUUCUUUAUUUUUUCACAAGCUUUGAAUUCAGAAAUAAGAGCCACAACAAGUUGGUUGUUAAGUAAAAAUGGGAGUGAUUACAAAGGAAAACUUUGUACAAAACUUUAAAAAUCUGACUGCCCCAUCAACUGCCUCGGAGGGACCAGGACUCAGGCCACCCAGGGGCAGCCAUCACCCCCCCAUUGUCAGCCCCGAAUGGGGAUGGGGAGACCUCUUUCUGAGUGUGAACCUGGCUCGGCCUGAAGCCUAGAGCUGGCUUGAAGAACACACACAGACCAGAAGACAGCACGGUGAGUUACAAGUGCCACGGAGACCAGGGUUUCUGACACAGGAUGUGGAGGAUGCUUCUUUGCAACCUAGUGCAAGGCUUCCCCUGCCAUUCCGAGAAUUCACGGAUCUCACGGGUGGGGGUGGGUCGAGCUUCUUUCUAGUGUGGACCAGAGGUGGGGGCAAUGAGUAAACAUCUUCACUGCAAGAGGUUUGGGACUGUCCCUCAGGGCUUGAGGUCUCGGCAUCGUGUCUCAGUCAGUCCUUGGCGAUGUCCCCUCAGACGCACUCACAGACUUGCAUACGUAAUUUAGUAACAUGCAUCAACUAUCCUAGAACAUCUACAGGGUGCAAAGGAACCACCACUCAGAGAAUCAUGGAGCCAGUGGAGUUAGAAGUGGAAGGGACAGAACAA